GAUAAAUGUGUCUCUAGAGGGGGAAUUACGCAGUUUUGUAAAAAAAUAUACACGUAGCAGUGUAAUUCCCCUUUUCUUUUACUUUGCUUUGUGAAUUUCUGCAGACAUAUUAUCUAAAAUGGAGCCAGUAAUUAAAGGUGUGGCAAUUGGCGUUGUCGCUGCAGUCGCGUUGCUUACUUUGCUUGUCGAGUGGUGGCAACACCAGAAUAUACCGGAACCACAAGAAGCAUAUGGAAGACGUCCAAGAAGGAAUAAUUGAAUAGCGCCACAAGAAAACUCUUUUUACGCUGAUGGCGCGUAAUCAAGCAAUAAGAAUGUUAUAACAUUAUUUAAUGUAAGGAUAAUGUUAUUGGAAUUCAUUUGACAUAUUAAAUGAUGUAAUCAAAUUA